CUUACUUGGCGGGUAGCAAUUCGAUUCUUCUUUUCUUUCUAUUUAAAGUAGUGGUCCAAUCGAGUAGACUUUAUUGGCACUGAAGAUUCCUCCGCUAACGGAUAAAGUUGGCUAUGUAGCUUAUCGGCUUAUGACUUUUACUAUCAACUUAGAGUUGUUGGCUUACCACUAUCUACUUAGAGUUGUUGGCUUACCAGAGAUCCGUAUCAGAGGCAAAAGAGAUGGAUCCAAUUCAGAACUUGAAGUAGGGGUUGGGUGUGAGUUCAAAGUGGACAGUUCAGUGGAAUAGAAGUAUCCAGUUUCAAAGUCGUGUUCCAAUAGUGGUCUGGUCCAUACUAUAGCCAUAACAGUAUUAGUAGUGGUGCCAGUUCCAUUAAGUAGCCAGUUCCAUGUAAGUAUUAGUAGUUGCCCGGCCUCAGUAGUUUACUUUUUGAUUGUGCUUAGUUCGGGUGUUGACGAAAGUGAAAGCUAUGCGCUAUUCUUCUACUUCUACUAGAUGCGCUAAGAUCUUUUACAGCAAGAUUCAGUGCUAAGACGGGUUUUAGUAGUUGCUAAGUUUCAAGUCGAGUCGAGUUCCACCUUUUUCAUUGUUUAGUUUACGUUCAUAGGUUAGUCUAUAAUAUCAUUAUUUAAACAACCUGCUAUGACUUGCUUAACAUGAGUUCUUCCUUAAAGUGAGUCUCUAGUCUCAUUAAUUUCAAUGAAGCACAACUAGAAGAGCGUAACGGGACUCCAGUCUCUAGUCUCAUUGAAUGAACAUAAAGGACAACUCAUAUAGAAAAGCGUAAUGGGACUCCUGACUCUAAGGCUCUAAC
rnacentral:lncRNA from 1 species